rnacentral:rRNA from 1 species
UACGGGGGGGGUAAGCGUUGUUCGGAAUUACUGGGCGUAAAGGGCUCGUAGGCGGCCAACUAAGUCAGACGUGAAAUCCCUCAGCUUAACUGGGGAACUGCGUCUGAUACUGGAUGGCUUGGAUUCGGGAGAGGAAUGCGGAAUUCCAGGUGUAGCGGUGAAAUGCGUAGAUAUCUGGAGGAACACCGGUGGCGAAGGCGGCAUUCUGGACCGAUAUUGACACUGAUGAGCGAAAGCCAGGGGAGCAAACGGG